rnacentral:rRNA from 1 species
AGAGUUUGAUCAUGGCUCAGAACGAACGCUGGCGGCGUGCUUAAUACAUGCAAGUCGAACGAGAAAGUCUGGCUUCGGCUGGGCGAGUAAAGUGGCGAACGGGUGAGUAACACGUGGGCAAUCUGCCCUUAAGUUCGGGAUAAGCCUUCGAAAGGAGGUCUAAUACCGGAUAAUAUCUUUUAAUGGCAUCAUUUUUUGAUCAAAGACGGGGCAACCUGUCGCUUAAGGAUGAGCCCGCGCUCCAUUAGCUUGUUGGUAGGGUAACGGCCUACCAAGGCUCUGAUGGAUAGCCGGCCUGAGAGGGUGAACGGCCACACUGGGACUGAGAUACGGCCCAGACUCCUACGGGAGGCAGCAGUAGGGAAUAUUGCGCAAUGGACGAAAGUCUGACGCAGCAACGCCGCGUGGAUGAGGAAGCAUUUCGGUGCGUAAAAUCCUGUCAGUGGGGACGAAACGGUCAGGUAGUAACUGCCCUGGCCCUGACGGUACCUACAGAGGAAGUUCCGGCUAACUCCGUGCCAGCAGCCGCGGUAAUACGGGGGGAACGAGCGUUGUUCGGAUUUACUGGGCGUAAAGGGCGUGCAGGCGGAUUAGCAAGUCAGGGGUGAAAACCGUAGGCUUAACCUACGGCCUGCCUUUGAAACUGCCAAUCUUGAGUACGGGAGAGGAAAGCGGAAUUCCAGGUGUAGCGGUGACAUGCGUAGAUAUCUGGAAGAACAUCGGUGGCGAAGGCGGCUUUCUGGACCGAUACUGACGCUGAGGCGCGAAAGCCAGGGGAGCAAACAGGAUUAGAUACCCUAGUAGUCC